CAGAGGGUGCGAGCGUUAAUCGGAAUUACUGGGCGUAAAGCGCGCGUAGGCGGUUUAUUAAGUCGGAUGUGAAAUCCCUGAGCUUAACUUAGGAAUUGCAUUCGAUACUGGUAAGCUAGAGUAUGGGAGAGGAAGGUAGAAUUCCAGGUGUAGCGGUGAAAUGCGUAGAGAUCUGGAGGAAUACCGAUGGCGAAGGCAGCCUUCUGGCCUAAUACUGACGCUGAGGUGCGAAAGCAUGGGAGCAAACAGGAUU
rnacentral:rRNA from 1 species